GACGAACGCUGGCGGCGUGCUUAACACAUGCAAGUCGUACGGUAAGGCCCUUUCGGGGGUACACGAGUGGCGAACGGGUGAGUAACACGUGAGUAACCUGCCCACAACUUUGGGAUAACGCUAGGAAACUGGUGCUAAUACUGGAUAUGUGCUCCUGCUGCAUGGUGGGGGUUGGAAAGCUCCGGCGGUUGUGGAUGGACUCGCGGCCUAUCAGCUUGUUGGUGGGGUAGUGGCCUACCAAGGCGGCGACGGGUAGCCGGCCUGAGAGGGUGACCGGCCACAGUGGGACUGAGAUACGGCCCAGACUCCUACGGGAGGCAGCAGUGGGGAAUAUGGCACAAGGGGCGCAAGCCUGAUGCAGCAACGCCGCGUGCGGGAUGACGGCCUUCGGGUUGGAAACCGCUUUCAGCAGGGACGAAGCUUUUUGUGACGGUACCUGCAGAAGAAGCACCGGCUAACUACGUG
rnacentral:rRNA from 1 species